rnacentral:rRNA from 1 species
CCUACGGGAGGCAGCAGUGGGGAAUUUUGGACAAUGGGCGCAAGCCUGAUCCAGCAAUGCCGCGUGAGUGAAGAAGGCCUUCGGGUUGUAAAGCUCUUUUGUCAGGGAAGAAACGGUGGGGGCUAAUAUCCCCUGCUAAUGACGGUACCUGAAGAAUAAGCACCGGCUAACUACGUGCCAGCAGCCGCGGUAAUACGUAGGGUGCAAGCGUUAAUCGGAAUUACUGGGCGUAAAGCGUGCGCAGGCGGUUUUGUAAGUUUGUCGUGAAAUCCCCGGGCUCAACCUGGGAAUGGCGAUGAAGACUGCAAGGCUAGAAUCUGGCAGAGGGGGGUAGAAUUCCACGUGUAGCAGUGAAAUGCGUAGAGAUGUGGAGGAACACCGAUGGCGAAGGCAGCCCCCUGGGUCAAGAUUGACGCUCAUGCACGAAAGCGUGGGGAGCAAACAGGAUUAGAUACCCUGGUAGUCCACGCCCUAAACGAUGUCUACUAGUUGUCGGGUUUUAAUUAACUUGGUAACGCAGCUAACGCGUGAAGUAGACCGCCUGGGGAGUACGGUCGCAAGAUUAAAACNCAAAGGAUUGACGGCUGAGAGNGCGAGCGACGACGAGGGAGGAGG